UACGGCCAUAUAACAUUAAAACACCUGUUCCUCUAUGAUCAUUGAAGUUAAGCAACGUCGAGUCUAGUUAAUACCUAGAUGGAUUACCGCAUGGGAAUACCAGGUGCUGUAAG